rnacentral:tRNA from 1 species
UUUAAUAUGGCAGAUUAGUGCAUUGAACUUAAACCUCACUCAUAAAGAUUCAAUCUUUUAUUAAAA